AUUGAACGCUGGCGGCAUGCUUUACACAUGCAAGUCGAACGGUAACAGGUUAAGCUGACGAGUGGCGAACGGGUGAGUAAUGCAUCGGAACGUGCCCGAUCGUGGGGGAUAACGCAGCGAAAGCUGCGCUAAUACCGCAUACGAUCUGAGGAUGAAAGCGGGGGACCGUAAGGCCUCGCGCGAUCGGAGCGGCCGAUGUCAGAUUAGGUAGUUGGUGGGGUAAAGGCCCACCAAGCCGACGAACUGUAGCUGGUCUGAGAGGACGACCAGCCACACUGGGACUGAGAGACGGCCCAGACUCCUACGGGAGGCAGCAGUGGGGAAUUUUGGACAAUGGGCGAAAGCCUGAUCCAGCAAUGCCGCGUGCAGGAAGAAGGCCUUCGGGUUGUAAACUGCUUUUGUACGGAGCGAAAAGGUCCUUUCUAAUACAAGGGGCUCAUGACGGUACCGUAAGAAUAAGCACCGGCUAACUACGUGCCAGCCGCCGCGGUAACAC
rnacentral:rRNA from 1 species